rnacentral:lncRNA from 1 species
AAACACCAAUAACGAAUGAUAAAAAGAGUUGGAUGCAUAAAUAAUGGAUUGAAGAUGUAUCGGUGUAAAAUAUUUUAUAAAUUAAAAGUACCAUAGAAUGAAUUUUUGUACAAUAUUUUAUAUCAGUUAUGUGAAUAAGUGUGGUGUCUAGGGUUCGAACUCCGGCCCCUGUUUAUAAUAAUACAUUGUCCUACCAACUGAGCUAUGUUCACGGGACUAUUUUAUAUCAGAGUUAACACACAUUAAAUGUGAAAUUGUAUGAAGUGAGCAAAGGUUGUGUUCUUUUGCACAAAGAAAGAGAAUUAAAUAGUUAUGGUAUGUAAUAAAUGAAAGAAAAAAAAAAUAAACAAGG